rnacentral:snRNA from 1 species
AUACCUUUCUCGGCCUUUUGGCUAAGAUCAAGUGUAGUAUCUGUUCUUAUCAGUUUAAUAUCUGAUAUGUGGGCCAUGUGCCCACGAUGAUAUUAAAUUUAUUUUUUAUGGGAGAGGGCCCACCACAGUGGCUUGCCACUGGGACCCUCGGGAGUCGUCCAGGCGUUGCACUACAGCCUGGCUGGCGCACCCCAA